CGGGUGAGUAACACGUGAGUGACCUGCCUUUUAGACUGGAACAACUUACCGAAAGGUGAGCUAAUGCCGGAUGAGUUAUAUAAGUGCAUGUUUAUAUAGGAAAAGUUGGGGAGACCUGACGCUGAAAGAUGGACUCGCGUCCCAUUAGCUAGUUGGUAGGGUAAUGGCCUACCAAGGCGACGAUGGGUAGCCGGCCUGAGAGGGUGGCCGGCCACACUGGGACUGAGACACGGCCCAGACUCCUACGGGAGGCAGCAG
rnacentral:rRNA from 1 species